rnacentral:rRNA from 1 species
AGGUCUUGACAUCCUUUGACCACCUAAGAGAUUAGGCUUUCCCUUCGGGGACAAAGUGAC